AAGCAUCCAGAGAUGGAUGUGUCUCUUCGGAGACGGUAUGACAGGUGCUGCAUGGCUGUCGUCAGCUCGUGCCGUGAGGUGUUGGGUUAAGUCCCGCAACGAGCGCAACCCUAUCUUUAGUUGCCAUCAGUUCGGCUGGGCACUCUAUGGAGACUGCCACCUAAGUGGAGGAAGGUGGGGAUGACGUCAAGUCAGCAUGGCCCUUACGUCCGGGGCUACACACGUGCUACAAUGGCCGGUACAAAGGGUUGCGAAGCCGUGAGGUGGAGCGAAUCUCAAAAAGCCGGCCUCAGUUCGGAUUGGAGGCUGCAACUCGCCUCCAUGAAGUCGGAAUCGCUAGUAACCGCAGAUCAGCUACGUUGCGGUGAAUACGUUCCCGGGCCUU
rnacentral:rRNA from 1 species